AUUGAACGCUGGCGGCAUGCUUUACACAUGCAAGUCGAACGGCAGCGCGGGCUUCGGCCUGGCGGCGAGUGGCGAACGGGUGAGUAAUACAUCGGAACGUGCCCAGUAGUGGGGGAUAGCUCGGCGAAAGCCGGAUUAAUACCGCAUACGACCUGAGGGUGAAAGCGGGGGAUCUUCGGAUCUCGCGCUAUUGGAGCGGCCGAUGGCAGAUUAGCUAGUUGGUGGGGUAAGGGCCUACCAAGGCGACGAUCUGUAGCUGGUCUGAGAGGACGACCAGCCACACUGGGACUGAGACACGGCCCAGACUCCUACGGGAGGCAGCAGUGGGGAAUUUUGGACAAUGGGCGAAAGCCUGAUCCAGCAAUGCCGCGUGUGUGAUGAAGGCCUUCGGGUUGUAAAGCACUUUUGGCGGGAACGAAAAGGACUGUGCCAAUACCACGGUUCGAUGACGGUACCCGCAGAAUAAGCACCGGCUAACUACGUG
rnacentral:rRNA from 1 species